rnacentral:rRNA from 1 species
GACGAACGCUGGCGGCGUGCUUAACACAUGCCAGUCGAACGGAAAGGCCCUGCUUUUGUGGGGUGCUCGAGUGGCGAACGGGUGAGUAACACGUGAGUAACCUGCCCUUGACCUUGGGAUAACUUCAGGAAACUGGGGCUAAUACCGGAUAGGAGCUCCUGCUGCAUGGUGGGGGUUGGAAAGUUUCGGCGGUUGGGGAUGGACUCGCGGCUUAUCAGCUUGUUGGUGGGGUAGUGGCUUACCAAGGCUUUGACGGGUAGCCGGCCUGGGAGGGUGACCGGCCACAUUGGGACUGAGAUACGGCCCAGACUCCUACGGGAGGCAGCAGUGGGGAAUAUUGCACAAUGGGCGGAAGCCUGAUGCAGCAACGCCGCGUGCGGGAUGACGGCCUUCGGGUUGUAAACCGCUUUCGCCUGUGACGAAGCGUGAGUGACGGUAAUGAGUAAAGAAGCACCGGCUAACUACGUG